ACUGCUCAGUAACACGUAGACAACCUACCCCUCAGCACGGGGAUAAACCCGGGAAACUGGGUAUAAUACCCGAUAGUUCUGGGAAGCUGGAAUGCUCCCAGGACGAAAGCUCCGGCGGCCGAGGAUGGGUCUGCGGCCUAUCAGGUAGUAGUGGGUGUAACGUACCUACUAGCCUACGACGGGUACGGGUUGUGAGAGCAAGAGCCCGGAGAUGGAUUCUGAGACACGAAUCCAGGCCCUACGGGGUGCAGCAGGCGCGAAAACUUUACAAUGCUGGCAACAGCGAUAAGGGGACCUCGAGUGCCAGGAUACAAUCUUGGCUGUCGUGAUGCCUAAAAAGCAUUGCAUAGCAAGGGCCGGGCAAGACCGGUGCCAGCCGCCGCGGUAACACCGGCGGCUCGAGUGGUAACCGCUAUUAUUGGGUCUAAAGGGUCUGUAGCCGGCCGGAUAAGUCUUUUGGGAAAUCCAGCUGCUCAACAGUUGGGCUUUCAGAAGAUACUGUUCGGCUCGAGGCCGGGAGAGGUGAGAGGUACUUCAGGGGUAGGGGUGAAAUCUUGUAAUCCUUGAAGGACCACCAGUGGCGAAGGCGUCUCACCAGAACGGACCUGACGGCAAGGGACGAAAGCUAGGGGCACGAACCGGAUUAGAUACCCGGGUAGUCCUAGCCGUAAACGAUACUCGCUAGGUGUCAGCCACGGUGCGACCGUGGUUGGUGCCGUAGGGAAGCCGUGAAGCGAGCCACCUGGGAAGUACGGCCGCAAGGCUGAAACUUAAAGGAAUUGGCGGGGGAG
rnacentral:rRNA from 1 species